UACGGGGGGAGCAAGCGUUGUUCGGAUUUACUGGGCGUAAAGGGCGCGUAGGCGGCCACCGCAAGUCGAUUGUGAAAUCUCCGGGCUUAACUCGGAAAGGUCAACUGAUACUGUGCGGCUAGAGUGCAGAAGGGGCAACUGGAAUUCUCGGUGUAGCGGUGAAAUGCGUAGAUAUCGAGAGGAACACCUGCGGCGAAGGCGGGUUGCUGGGCUGACACUGACGCUGAUGCGCGAAAGCCAGGGGAGCGAACGGG
rnacentral:rRNA from 1 species